AACGGCGAGUGAAGCGGUAACAGCUCAAAUUUGAAAUCUGGCCUCACGGUCCGAGUUGUAAUUUGUAGAGGAUGCUUCGAGCAUGGUCUGGCCUAAGUUCCUUGGAACAGGACGUCAUAGAGGGUGAGAAUCCCGUAUGCGGUCAGGUGCCUACGCUCAUGUGAAGCUCCUUCGACGAGUCGAGUUGUUUGGGAAUGCAGCUCAAAAUGGGUGGUAAAUUUCAUCUAAAGCUAAAUAUUGGCCAGAGACCGAUAGCGCACAAGUAGAGUGAUCGAAAGAUGAAAAGCACUUUGGAAAGAGAGUUAAACAGUACGUGAAAUUGUUGAAAGGGAAGCGCUUGCAACCAGACUUGCGCGCGGCCGAUCAUCCGGUGUUCUCACCGGUGCACUCGGCCGUGCUCAGGCCAGCAUCGGUUUCGGCGGUUGGAUAAAGGCCUCAGGAAUGUGGCUCCUCUCGGGGAGUGUUAUAGCCUGGGGUGCAAUGCAGCCUGCUGGGACCGAGGACCGCGCUUCGGCUAGGAUGCUGGCGUAAUGGUUGUAAGCG
rnacentral:rRNA from 1 species